CCUGCCUGUGGAGGGCUGGUCCAGGGCUGAGGGGGAGUUGAGGAAGAGGGACAGAGGGAGUGAGAGGGUUAAGUUACACAGGAUGAAGAGAAGGAAAUGCUGAGGUGUUGAUCUCACCGAAAAGUUGCUUGAGCCGCUGAGCAGUGGCCCCGGUCUCCUGCUCUCUCUCUCUGAAAGUUUACAAGUCAACCGUGCAGUACGAGGAAGGGGGAGCGCCACAAAGGACUUCGAGACUGCAUGAAUUUAGAGUCCCUGACAGCAGCCCUAGAGAAGUGGAAUGUGGGAGGAGUUCCGCUAGCGGAACGCCUCGGUCAAACAGUCUGAACAAUGUUAAGAUCUCCUCAAUUUAAGAAAAUGGACACAAUUCAAUGGAUAUCGAUCCACAAAG